rnacentral:misc_RNA from 1 species
GAGAAGAACGCAGCGAAAUGCGAUACGUAAUGUGAAUUGCAGAAUUCAGUGAAUCAUCGAAUCUUUGAACGCAUAUUGCGCUCUCUGGUAUUCCGGAGAGCAUGCUUGUUUGAGUAUCAGUAAACACCUCAACUCCCUUUUCUUUUUUGAAAUUGGAGCUGGACUUGAGUGAUCCCAACGCUUUCUUCCAAGAAAGUGGCGGGUUGCUUGAAAUGCAGGUGCAGCUGAACUUUUCUCUGAGCUAUAAGCAUAUCUAUUUAGUCUGCCUAAAAAACAGAUUAUUACCUUUGCUGCAGCUAACAUAAAGGAGACUAGUUCUUGUGCUGACUGAUGCAGGAUUCACAGAGACAGCUUCGGCUGACUUUGUAAACUCGAUCUCAAAUCAAGUAAGACUACCCGCUGAACUUAAGCAUAUCAAUAAGCGGAGGA